UGCCAGCCGCCGCGGUAAUACGAAGGGGGCAAGCGUUGUUCGGAAUUACUGGGCGUAAAGAGCGUGUAGGUGGACAUGCAAGCUAGAGGUGAAAUCCCAGGGCUCAACCCUGGAACUGCCUUUGGAACUGCAUGUCUGGAGUCUUAGAGGGGAGUGCGGAAUUCCUAAUGUAGAGGUGAAAUUCGUAGAUAUUAGGAGGAACACCGGUGGCGAAGGCGGCACUCUGGAUAAGUACUGACACUGAGACGCGAAAGCGUGGGGAGCAAACAGGAUUAGACA
rnacentral:rRNA from 1 species